GUCUGUAUGUAUAAAAUUUAAAGUCUAAUCUGCCCACUGGCAGGGUUUAAAGGGCCGCAGUAUUUUAACUGUGCUAAGGUAGCAUAAUCAAUAGUCUUUUAAUUGAAGGCCGGGAUGAAUGAUUGGACAAAAAAAACACUGUCUUUUUUAAAAAGUUAGAAUUUUACUUUUAAGUGAAAAGGCUUAAAUAACUUUAGGGGACGAUAAGACCCUUUAAAGCUUUAUAAAAAAAAAGUGAGUUAGAUAUUAAAAUGGUUCUGGGUACUUUGAGUUUUGUUUGGUUGGGGCGACUUUGAUAGAAUAAGUAACUGUCCAAGGUAUAAGAUAGUUAUAAUUAGAAGGAGUGAACCUUUAUUAAGGAUUAAAAGAAAAAGUUACUUAAGGGAUAACAGCAUAAUUUUUUUAGAGAGUUCUUAUUGAUGAAAGUAGUUAUGACCUCGAUGUUGAAUUAAGAUUAAAUCUAAGGAGCAGCUUUUUUAGUAUUGAGUCUGUUCGACUUUUGGAAUCUUACAUGAUUUGAGUUCAGACCGGCGUAAG
rnacentral:rRNA from 1 species